CACAGUGAGUUGGUUCUGACCCAUAUCGAUAAUUCAUUGAGGUUCGGAUCCAGGAUCUCACAAUGAGCCAACAAUGUGCUCUCACAGCUCAGAAAAUCAGCUGCAUCCUGGACCGCAUCAAAAGCAGAGUGGCCAGCAGGUCGAGGGAGGUGAUUCUGACCCUCUGCUCUCAUGAGAUCCCACGUGGAGAACUGCAUCCAAGUCCGGAGCCCUCAGUACAAGAAGGACACAGACAUGUGUAUGAAAAUAUCCCCAGAACCUAUGCGAAGGAAGAGGAGGGACUGUGAUUUUUGUUGCCCUUUCCUUCUCCUCAAAGCUCAGGUUUCUACCUUUCAAUGAAUUAUUGGACAUAUGUGGUUGCUAUGCUUUUCUCCAAAUUAUUUACCCUUUCUCCUGCUUCUGUCUCUCUGUUCCAUAUGAUUUAUUGGGUCACUGGCUUCUCUGUACUGAAAAUGCCACCAGACCAUCCUAAUUAAAGGACUGAGUCAUGAACAGAAAAGCAAAGUGUAAAAUGAAGAUUUCAGCCCAACAUCCAUAAACAUUGUGGACAGGGAUGGAAGCUUCUGUUUACAAUCAUCUCCUGUAUAAAAUGGGAGCACUGAGGCCAUUUCCUUUCUCCACCUUUAAGAAAGAGGAUUCUCAACAUCCUGUAUCAAUUUUUGCUGGUUUUGCACUAUUGUGGUUCUAUACAUCUACCAAUUGCAAGAAGGAAGGAUAAUGGUAUGUUGUGAUGAUCUUAAAAUUUCCCCUUAUCCUGCUGCCUUCCACUGAAAAGCCAGAAUAAUUGCAUUUAAGGAAAUUCUUGAUAGAAAUUUAGUAGAAUAAGCUUGAGUCUAUUUGUCUGACCUGGCUUAAAACUCAAUAUAGGAAAUACAACAUUUAUCCCCUAAAAUGGUAUUUUACUUGUCAUUUCUUAAAUAUAACUCAUAGCUGAAGAUUUGUUGUCUGCCUGUCUUCAUUUAACAAACUAUGCCCUCUGUUUAUGGCUUUACAAAAUGUAGGAGCUUGUUGAGUGAAUUUAUAUGUGAGACAAAUUCUGAUAAAUUGAUCCAUAAUACUUAGCUGAUUUGGUUUUAGUUGCUAAAAACAUUACAAUAAUUUAAUACUUUGACACUGUAAUUAUAUUUAGCUCUAAGCUAAGUUUCCUUGUAGAGUAAUAGGAUUUCCAUGAGAUCUGUGCUGCCUAAGCUCUAGGUUCUUCCUCCUGAAAGGGUAAUCCUGCAGAACUUUAUGGAGAUGGGAAUUCACUGAUUCUCUACUUGCAUAAGUGUGAAGAGUUUGGCUGUAAGCAAAU